rnacentral:lncRNA from 10 species
UAUAAUGGGAGUCAAACAUGUCACGGAAAAUAAAGAAAAACGGUUGCGUUUCAUUUCUCGGUCAGUGUAAUGCAGAGAAGAGAAGAGCUACCGAAGAUAACUCAAUCUGGGGAAAGUCAGCUGCCAUUUAUGAACAGCCCUAUGGAGAGGCCCUCAAAGUCAAGGGACUGUAGUGUCUGACAGGAGCCAUGUGAGUGGGCUCAGAAGCAGACUCUCCAGUCGCAGUCAAGCCUACGAUGACUGCAGCCCCAACCAACAACUGAAUAACCACGUCAUGAUAGAUACUGAGCCAGAAUCACCCAGCUAAGCUGCUCUCAAAUUCCUGAUCACAGAAAGUGUGAGAUAAUAAAUGUUUGUUAUCUAAA